AAACUUAAAGGAAUUGACGGGGACCCGCACAAGCAGCGGAGCGUGUGGUUUAAUUCGUUGCUACACGAAGAACCUUACCUGGGUUUGACAUAUAGGUUGUAGGGAACUGAAAAGGGACCGACCCUUCGGGGAGCCUAUACAGGUGUUGCAUGGCUGUCGUCAGCUCGUGUCGUGAGAUGUUCGGUUAAGUCCGCUAACGAGCGCAACCCUCGUCGUAUGUUAUAUGUGUCAUACGAGACUGCCGGUAAAAGCCGGAGGAAGGUGAGGGUGAUGUCAAGUCAGCAUGACCUUUAUAUCCAGGGCUACACACACGCUACAAUGGUCUGUACAAUGGGUAGCCAAGCCGCGAGGCGGAGCCAAUCCUGAAAGCAGGCCUCAGUUCAGAUUGCAGUCUGCAACUCGACUGCAUGAAGCCGGAGUUGCUAGUAACCGCAGGUCAGCAAUACUGCGGUGAAUACGUUCCCGGGUCUU
rnacentral:rRNA from 1 species